rnacentral:rRNA from 1 species
UAAAACUCAAAUGAAUUGACGGGGGCCCGCACAAGCGGUGGAGCAUGUGGUUUAAUUCGAAGCAACGCGAAGAACCUUACCUACUCUUGACAUCCAGUGAACUUAGCAGAGAUGCUUUGGUGCCUUCGGGAACACUGAGACAGGUGCUGCAUGGCUGUCGUCAGCUCGUGUUGUGAAAUGUUGGGUUAAGUCCCGUAACGAGCGCAACCCUUGUCCUUAGUUACCAUCAUUAAGUUGGGGACUCUAAGGAGACUGCCGGUGACAAACCGGAGGAAGGCGGGGACGACGUCAAGUCAUCAUGGCCCUUACGAGUAGGGCUACACACGUGCUACAAUGGCCAGUACAGAGGGUUGCAAUACCGCGAGGUGGAGCUAAUCCCACAAAGCUGGUAGUAGUCCGGAUUGGAGUCUGCAACUCGACUCCAUGAAGUCGGAAUCGCUAGUAAUCGUGAAUCAGAAUGUCACGGUGAAUACGUUCCCGGGCCUUGUACACACCGCCCGUCACGCCAUGGGAGUGGGUUGCUCCAGAAGUAGAUAGCCUAACCUUCGGGAGGGCGUUUAC